rnacentral:lncRNA from 1 species
ACUGAAAAAGUGAGGAUGUAGGAGCCAAAAAAAAAGUCUGAGACCAGCCCUGCCACUUACUAGCAGGUCCCGUCAGUUUGGGCUUCUGUUUCUCACCAAUGAAAUGAAUAGGAGAAGUUCAGCUCUCAGAUCUUGCAACUCUGAGAGUCCUUUUCCCAGCUUCAGCUACCUUUCUCCUACCAAACGUGACUGGAUAGUCCUAGGACAUAUAUAAUGUAUCAUUAUAUAUGAUACUGUGGCUUUAGGGUUUAGAAUUUAUUUGAGAUGGUCUAUGGCAAUUCAUUCAUUUUACUCAUUGGAAACUGAGCCUCAGAGAGACAGAGGCAUUUGUUCAAGGUUACACUUUACAACCAGCUUGAGAAUCUGUGGGUUCUCCUGUGACCACUCACAUAGACCCUAAGAUUCCUUGGUCACAAUUUGCCAUAUGGUUGUGUGAGAACCUGUGACCCCUCACUUAGACCCUUGGAGUCCUUGAUCAUAAUUUGCCAUAGGAAGGUGCAGAAUGGUGGAUAUGGUGGGGUGGCCCUCAACAUCCACUCCAACCACCCUUCAAUCUGCCUUUCAGUACUGUAGAGGCUAGAAAGAGUAGAAUACAUGCUGUAUUAUCUCAUUAAUAUAAAGUUCAAGAGCAGGCAAAACUAAUUUAUGGUGACAAAAAUCUAGACAGUGGUUAUUGGGUAUGUGAGGGAGGUGAUGUUUGACUGCAAACAAGCAAAAAGAAACUUUCUGGGUGGUUGCAAACCCUGAUCUACAUAGUAAAAGGCAACAUUGACUUGCAGCUCCUGAGCCUGCCCCAACCAUGAAGAAUGUGGGCAUCUUGGAGUCCCCAUUAACAGGUUGACUCUGCUGCACAACUUGGGAUCAGAAAGUCUGAGUUCACCCCAGCUCUGCUGCUUGUAAGCCAGGGACAUUGUGUUCUUCCUGACUGUGGACCAGCUGGGCUUCUGCUGUGUGUUCCUGAUGCUUCUGGCAGAUAACCUCAAACAAGUAGGGCAGAGAACUCAAGCAGAAAUACAAGAUGGCACGAGAUAGCCCAGCUUGAGUUUUAAGCAGCUCCAUCCAAAUCAACCAGGUGAUCAAGACAACUGAUGAGAUCAUAGCUGACUGCCAGGGCAGAGGCGUGGCGAUUCCCACACCCACCGUGGAUGUCACAUCUACACAGUGUUCACAUUUCCCUUGCUGGUGCUGCUGGUGUUCCUCCAGAGCCUCUGUGCGCUGCCUACUUUCUAGAUGCUGAACAAAGUCUUCACGCUGGGAAGCCUCGUCCUCAUCCUCCAGCAUCUCCUCCAGGAGGAAAACAAAGGGAGAUUUGACUACAGACAAGAGAUAAGAAGCCCAUGGGAUAGAAGCAGAGUCAGAGAGAGAAGACACUAUGGGAAUAUCAGGGAAGGAGCCACGAGCCAAGGGAUGUACAGAAUGCUCUAGAAGCUAGGAAGAAGAACAACAACAACAAAGGAAACAGAUUUUCCUUCAUAGCCUCUGGAGGAAGCAUAGCCCUGCUGGCAUGUUUACUUUGGCUCAUUGAAACUGAUUUAGGGCUUCUGGCCUUCAGAACUGUAAGAACAAAUUUGUGUGUUGUUUUAUGGCACUAAGUUUAUGGCAAUUUGUUAGAGCAGCCAUAGGAAACCAACACAGGCAAAAGAAAGGACCUCUGAGGCUUACUCCACAUCUGUCAAAUGGGAUCAAUAACACAUUCAU